rnacentral:pre_miRNA from 1 species
CAAAGUGCUCACAGUGCAGGUAGUACACACAGAUCUACUGCAGUUUGUGCACUCGGGU